UGGAUGAAGACAGAGCAGUGGAGUUCGACACUAGCAUGUAUCACUUUGGUGAAUAUGUGCCUCCAGCAAGGGAGAGCAAGAGCUUGAGUGAAGCUCAUAGGAACAACAGUAAACUACAGAAGUGGUGCUAGAAGCAGGACAAGCUGCUCGCCAAGUGUUUCUGACAGAUAAGCUGAGUUGUUCCUCCUCCACUACUGCUAUUCCA